rnacentral:rRNA from 1 species
AGUACUCGAGUGGCGAACGGGUGAGUAACACGUGGGUAAUCUGCCCUGCACUCUGGGAUAAGCCUGGGAAACUGGGUCUAAUACUGGAUAUGACCUUUCUCCUUAUGGGGUUUGGUGGAAAGUUUUUCGGUGUAGGAUGAGCCCGCGGCCUAUCAGCUUGUUGGUGGGGUGAUGGCCUACCAAGGCGACGACGGGUAGCCGGCCUGAGAGGGUUAUCGGCCACAUUGGGACUGAGAUACGGCCCAG